rnacentral:rRNA from 1 species
GAUGAACGCUGGCGGCGUGCUUAACACAUGCAAGUCGAACGAUGAAGCCCAGCUUGCUGGGUGGAUUAGUGGCGAACGGGUGAGUAACACGUGAGUAACCUGUCCUUGACUCUGGGAUAAGCCUGGGAAACUGGGUCUAAUACUGGAUAUGACUUCUCAUCGCAUGGUGGGGGGUGGAAAGAUUUAUUGGUCUUGGAUGGACUCGCGGCCUAUCAGCUUGUUGGUGAGGUAAUGGCUCACCAAGGCGACGACGGGUAGCCGGCCUGAGAGGGUGACCGGCCACACUGGGACUGAGACACGGCCCAGACUCCUACGGGAGGCAGCAGUGGGGAAUAUUGCACAAUGGGCGCAAGCCUGAUGCAGCGACGCCGCGUGAGGGAUGACGGCCUUCGGGUUGUAAACCUCUUUCAGUAGGGAAGAAGCGAAAGUGACGGUACCUGCAGAAGAAGCGCCGGCUAACUACGUG